UACGAAGGGGGCUAGCGUUGCUCGGAAUUACUGGGCGUAAAGGGCGCGUAGGCGGACAGUUUAGUCAGAGGUGAAAGCCCCGGGCUCAACCCGGGAAGUGCACUCGAUACUGCCGAGCUAGAGUGUCGGAGAGGUUGGUGGAAUUCUCGGUGUAGAGGUGAAAUUCGUAGAUAUCGAGAGGAACACCGGUGGCGAAGGCGGCCAGCUGGACGAACACUGACGCUGAGACUCGAAAGCGUGGGGAGCAAACAGG
rnacentral:rRNA from 1 species